rnacentral:lncRNA from 1 species
GAAAGAAGUCAGAUGUUCCUGACCUGAAAACCUGCAUUACUGAGCAGGGGAUGUCAGGAUGGGACAGACAAAUGUGUGUGGUGGCAGUGAUGGGGCUCAAGGUUAAGGUAUUUUAUCCUUUUUUUCCUUUUCCACUGAGCAGCUCUGUCAAUAGAUAAGUUCUUUUACAUCAGGACAUGGAUCUGAAGAUGAGGUUUGGUAAUCCACCCUCUGAGCAGCUUUUCUUUUGCUGUUAGGAUUUUCAACACUGUAAGAUUGAAAGCCCCGUGGGGGGGAAAAAAAUGAAGUGCAGCAAGCUUGGACAUCUUUGCAGGGGUCCUUUGAGUCUUCCAUUCACCUCCAUGAGAUAUAGGAACCUCUGAUGCAGCAGCUCCACCUUCUGCACCCCUUGUCUCAAUAAUUCCUGUCUCUGCACAGCAGAGGAUCAGGACUCCACUGUGUAGUGUUAACGGAUGAGCUGGAUGGGGAGAGAGGGUGAAACUUCCUUUUCUGUAUCCAGUUUCCAAAGCUUUAAGCUAUUCCUUUGCCUCUGACAUCUGAUCCGCAUCCAGGGUUAAGCUCUCUGCACCCUGAGUCUCUGUCAGCUGGCCAUUUGAGAAUUCCCUUUAUAUCGCCCUCAGUGCCCCUUUUCAGAGGCUGCACACCCUGCUGCUACUGAGCACCUCUUGUCCCCACCGUACUGGUGCCUUACAGCCAGGCUCUGGCCAGCCCCUGCUGGCUUUAGCUUGGGUUAACCACACCAGUAACCACAGCAGCCUGGGAGCAGAGAGCCUCAGAGCAUGCUCUGCACGCCCUGCUCGUGAUCCACGUGCAAUUUGGAAACAUUCAUCAUGAUGAGACUGGCAGUGCAAACCCUGACAAUGAACUUUCUUCGGUUGGAAGACAAAGGAUAUUCUGGUUGAUUUGUGGUGGAGUUGGUGUCUUCCAUAUUACGCAGGAAGUAUCUGAUGCACCAGAAGUGGUGGUGGAGAGGCUUUGCUGAAAAGCUUUUGAACCUCUGGCCCCAGAAGAUAGCUCUUAUCCAGGAGGAGCUUUGCAACACUGUUUACUUUCAUUCUUCGGAGGCUGAUCAAGCCGUUCCAGCAGGGAAUGUGUUUCGGUGGAGCAUGGGCCAUGCCAGCCUUCCUCCCAGCGUGAAUGCUGCGAUGUCCAAGGGCACUACAGCACCUUCAGCCUGGCUCCAAAGCACGCGGCUCGAUGCUUGGCUGCGGGACAAGCUUCACAGUAUAUAUAACCUGGACAAAGGGGGAGGAAUAGAGGGACGCAAUGGAAAUCUGCGAGCUGAGGAAACGCUUGUGUAAAUGCAAAAGCCUACAAGGGGCAAAUGGCAGCUGCUUUUCCUUUCGCUGGUAUUUUGUAUCUCAAAAGCCGUCCUGCAAAAAUCCAGAUGGGAACCUAACCCGCUCCCUUGCUCUAACGGCAUCGAUCCUGUCCCUCCUAGCACCCCUCAGCAGCACAAGCGUGGUGAUAGGAGCCGCGGUGUUCGGAUGACUUCAGUUCUGACUCAGAAAGGUGUUUACGAACAGAAAUGUCACGGCGAGCCUGAGCCAUAAGGGUUUUACUAUCCCCUGCUUGUUGCUCACUGUGAUGCUCCUUAAAGGAGCCCAGCUUGAAAGAAGAGAAGGAAAUGAGCUCUGGUCAGGCUGGGAGCCCCAGUAACUCCUGGAGCCUCUGGUCGCACACAGAUGCAAGUGUGCAACAGCCCCGUUCAGUCCUGCGGAGCUGCUCGGGUGUGUAAAGUUACACACCAGGGUACUGCGGCCACGGGGUAGGUGAUGCAGCUAUCCUUAUAUUUGCCGCUGUGCAUUUUUCACAUACUUAAGUGUUUGCCCAGUUAUAUCUCUCAUGGAGCUCAGUAGCGGCCAGUUUAAGGACAAAGACAGGAGAAGGAUGGAGUAGGGUUUCUGUGCCAUAGCUGCGUGCUGGCCCCAUGACAGCUCAUGCUCCUCUCUUUAGCUCAGUGUGAGUUACCAGACCUUAAAUAUUCCCUUUUCCUGGAACAAUAGGAGAGCUCCUACAAAUCUGUUAGGUUUGGUUACAGUUGUGCUCCCGCACCAAUUUAUUUUGACGUUGAUCGUACCGCAGAUAACUCCCCCAAAGCGCGAAGCCCUUCGGCCUGCAGCAGCCGGCAGGGCUGUGUCCCCUCGCACCACGCCAGAGCCCCCAAACCAGCUGCAUCCUCUCAGUGACUCUCAGGUUCCCUUUGUGCUGCGAGCGGUGGCACAAUAAAGGGACUGUUCACGAUUCCUCCA